rnacentral:lncRNA from 1 species
GGUCUAUGUGCAUAUUCAACAAAAGACACAGAUGGAUGAAUGACAAAAUUGUGUUUUGGUGAUGGUGAUGUGUUUGUAGAUCUUACUUUACUGAACAUUCUUGCUACUUACAAUUAUCUUCAUCUUUAAUGAACUUGGCCCAUUAGUUACAGAGGAAAAUAUUUUGUUAAAAAAUUUACAAAAAUUUACAAAAUUUAUGAUAAUUGUUAAAAAUUGACUGUAGAGGGCUGUAACUCCUUAAGGGGUCAACUUACCAUUUUUGUCAUGUUGAUUUAUUUGUAGAUCUUACUUUGCUGAACAUUAUUGCUGUUUACAGUUUAUCUCUAUCUACAAUAAUAUUCAAGAUAAUAAC